GUGUUUGUAGCUCAGUUGGUUAGAGCGCCGCUCUGUGGAAGCGGAGGUCGUGAGUUCAAGUCUCAUCUGACACCCCA
rnacentral:tRNA from 1 species